GCCUACCAUGGUGGUAACGGGUAACGGGGAAUUAGGGUUCGAUUCCGGAGAGGGAGCCUGAGAAACGGCUACCACAUCCAAGGAAGGCAGCAGGCGCGCAAAUUACCCAAUCCCGACACGGGGAGGUAGUGACAAUAAAUAACAAUACGGGGCUCUUUCGGGUCUCGUAAUUGGAAUGAGUACAAUUUAAAUCCCUUAACGAGGAACAAUUGGAGGGCAAGUCUGGUGCCAGCAGCCGCGGUAAUUCCAGCUCCAAUAGCGUAUAUUAAAGUUGUUGCAGUUAAAAAGCUCGUAGUUGAAUUUCGGGAUUGACACAUCGGUCGUGCCUUAAGGGGUAUGAACUGGUGUAGUCAAUUUCUCACCUUCUGGAGAACCGCGAUGCCCUUAAUUGGGUGUCGCGGGGAACCAGGACCUUUACUUUGAAAAAAUUAGAGUGUUUAAAGCAGGCAUUUUGCUUGAAUACAUUAGCAUGGAAUAAUAAAAUAGGACGGCAUGAUUCUAUUUUGUUGGUUUUAGGAUCACCGUAAUGAUUAAUAGGGAUAGUUGGGGGCAUUAGUAUUCAAUUGUCAGAGGUGAAAUUCUUGGAUUUAUUGAAGACUAACUACUGCGAAAGCAUUUGCCAAGGAUGUUUUCAUUAAUCAAGAACGAAAGUUAGGGGAUCGAAGACGAUCAGAUACCGUCGUAGUCUUAACCAUAAACUAUGCCGACUAGGAAUCAGACGAUGUUAAUUUUUUAAUGACUCGUUUGGCACCUUACG
rnacentral:rRNA from 1 species